rnacentral:rRNA from 1 species
AGAAUCAACGCUGGCGGCGUGCCUAACACACGCAAGUCGCACGAGAAAGGGUAGCAAUACCUGAGUAAAGUGGCGCACGGGUGAGUAACACGUGAAUUAUCUACCUCCGAGUGGGGAAUAACUGAGAGAAAUCUUAGCUAAUACCGCAUAACACUUACGAGUCAAAGCAGCAAUGCGCUUGGAGAGGAGGUUCGCGGCAGAUUUAGUUAGUUGGCGGGUAAUGGCCCACCAAGACGAUGAUCUGUA